GAUGAACGCUAGCGGCAGGCUUAAUACAUGCAAGUCGAGGGGCAGCAUGAUUGUAGCAAUACAAUUGAUGGCGACCGGCAAACGGGUGCGGAACACGUACACAACCUUCCAACAAGUGGGGGAUAGCCCAGAGAAAUUUGGAUUAAUACCCCGUAACAUAGCGAUGUGGCAUCACAUUGCUAUUAUAGAUUUUUCGCUUGUUGAUGGGUGUGCGGCUGAUUAGAUAGUUGGCGGGGUAACGGCCCACCAAGUCUACGAUCAGUAGCUGAUGUGAGAGCAUGAUCAGCCACACUGGCACUGAGACACGGGCCCGACUCCUACGGGAGGCAGCAGUAAGGAAUAUUGGACAAUGGACGGAAGUCUGAUCCAGCCAUGCCGCGUGAAGGAUUAAGGUCCUCUGGAUUGUAAACUUCUUUUAUAAGGGACGAAAAAAGGCUUUUCUAAGUCGUCUGACGGUACCUUAUGAAUAAGCACCGGCUAACUCCGUGCCAGCAGCCGCGGUAAAAC
rnacentral:rRNA from 1 species